rnacentral:rRNA from 1 species
CCUACGGGAGGCAGCAGCUAAGAAUAUUCCGCAAUGGACGAAAGUCUGACGGAGCGACGCCGCGUGGAUGAUGAAGGCCGGAAGGUUGUAAAAUCCUUUUAUGACUGAGGAAUAAGUGAAGUGAGAGAAACGCUUCAUGGUGACUGUAGGUCAUGAAUAAGCAACGGCUAAUUACGUGCCAGCAGCCGCGGUAAU